rnacentral:rRNA from 1 species
ACGAACGCUGGCGGCGUGCUUAACACAUGCAAGUCGAACGGUGAAGCGCCUUCCUUUUUGGUGGGUGUGGAUGAGCGGCGAACGGGUGAGUAACACGUGAGUAACCUGCCCCCUUCUUCUGGAUAACCGCAUGAAAGUGUGGCUAAUACGGGAUAUUCUGGGUCUGUCGCAUGAUGGGUCUGGGAAAGAUAUUGUUUCGGUGGGGGAUGGGCUCGCGGCCUAUCAGCUUGUUGGUGGGGUGAUGGCCUACCAAGGCGGUGACGGGUAGCCGGCCUGAGAGGGUGGACGGUCACACUGGGACUGAGACACGGCCCAGACUCCUACGGGAGGCAGCAGUGGGGAAUAUUGCACAAUGGGCGCAAGCCUGAUGCAGCGACGCCGCGUGAGGGAUGGAGGCCUUCGGGUUGUGAACCUCUUUCGCCAGUGAAGCAGGCCUGCCUCGUUUGUGGGUGGGUUGACGGUAGCUGGAGAAGAAGCGCCGGCUAACUACGUG